rnacentral:rRNA from 1 species
UGGGGAAUAUUGGACAAUGGGCGCAAGCCUGAUCCAGCAAUGCCGCGUGUGUGAAGAAGGCCUUCGGGUUGUAAAGCACUUUUAUCAGGAGCGAAACGCUGUCGGCUAAUACCCGGCGGAACUGACGGUACCUGAGGAAUAAGCACCGGCUAACUUCGUGCCAGCAGCCGCGGUAAUACGAAGGGUGCAAGCGUUAAUCGGAAUUACUGGGCGUAAAGCGUGCGUAGGCGGUUUCUUAAGUCUGCUGUGAAAUCCCCGGGCUCAACCUGGGAAUGGCAGUGGAUACUGGGAGGCUAGAGUGUGUCAGAGGGUGGUGGAAUUCCCGGUGUAGCGGUGAAAUGCGUAGAGAUCGGGAGGAACAUCAGUGGCGAAGGCGGCCACCUGGGACAACACUGACGCUGAGGCACGAAAGCGUGGGGAGCAAACAGGAUUAGAUACCCUGGUAGUCCACGCCCUAAACGAUGCGAACUGGAUGUUGGUCUCAAUUCGGAGAUCAGUGUCGAAGCUAACGCGUUAAGUUCGCCGCCUGGGGAGUACGGUCGCAAGACUGAAACUUAAAUGAAUUGACGGGGUC